rnacentral:miRNA from 1 species
UAGGAGCGAAACUCUAAAAGA